rnacentral:sRNA from 1 species
UGUAGACGCAGGCCGUUCAGCGUCACUA